GCAGAAUCUCGUGACAGGCUGCAAUAAGACGGGUGUGAGAUGGUGACAUCAGAGAGUGACGGUAUGAUAGAUGUACUCUGAGUAUCCUGCCACCCCAUCUACCACCUGCCUGCCUGUCCAGUGAAUCUCUCUACACCACAAGGUCAUUCAGUACGGAGGAGUCCUAAUGAGGACCUGAGCCCUAGGACCAUGUCUCAGGACUACCUGGCAUGAUGACUCCUUGCUGUCCCCAGUCCACCUGGCCAUGCUGCUGCUCCAGUUUCAACUGUUCUGCCUGCGGCUAUUGAAUCCUGACCUGUUCACCGGACGUGCUACCUGUCCCAG
ensembl:lncRNA